rnacentral:misc_RNA from 1 species
GAUGAAGAACGUAGCGAAAUGCGAUAAGUAAUGUGAAUUGCAGAAUUCAGUGAAUCAUCGAAUCUUUGAACGCACAUUGCGCCCCUUGGUAUUCCGGGGGGCAUGCCUGUUCGAGCGUCAUUACAACCCUCAAGCUCUGCUUGGUAUUGGGCUCCGUCCUCCUCGGACGCGCCUCAAAGACCUCGGCGGUGGCGUCUUGCCUCAAGCGUAGUAGAAACACCUCGCUUUGGAGUGCAUGGCGUCGCCCGCCGGACGAAACCUUUUGUAUUUUCUCAAAGGUUGACCUCGGAUCAGGUAGGGAUACCCGCUGAACUUAAGCAUAUCAAUAAGCGGAGGA